rnacentral:tRNA from 1 species
GGGGAUGUAGCUCAGUGACAGAGGACAUGCUCAGCAUGCAUGAGGCCCUGGGUUUGAUCCCCAGAACCACA